CGUUUACCCCGUGCCCAUGGUGACUGCUACAGCACCAGGAGUGGUGCCUCCAGUUUCACUGCUUCACAGUGUCACCCCUGCCCACUGCACCUUCCUCGCCCAGGCAGGGCCCUGUAUUUAAGGGGUGCCCAAGGGCUGGUACCACUGCCUCAGGAGAGCCACGCCACGGACAGCGAUCAGGACUGUGGUGCUCUCAGAAGGAACUGUUCUGUAGGGCAGCUUGGAGUCAGUAGAGAAUGUGGAACGCUAGCCAAGGCACACCACCACCACCACAGAUGCAAGUCUGCCCAACUGCCCCUCCGAAUUACCCGUUCCCUGGGCCCAGCACCCCUUGCUACCCAGCAGUGCCACCCAGCACCCCUGGGACCUGUCCCCCAGGCCCCCUUCUGCCUGGCCAUCACCCACCGGGCCACCACCCUCAUGGGCACCACCCACCGGGCCACCAUCACCAUGGGCAUCCCCCACAUGGACCACCAGGGUGCCCACCUGGGUGCCCACCAGGGUGCCCACCAGGGUGCCCACCAGGCCCCCAUGACUGCCAUCAGAAGCACAAGAAGAAGCACAAGAAGAAGCACUCCAAUUGUUCCCACAAGCACCAUGGAGGCAAGCACUCAGGCAGCUCAAGCAGCUCGAGCAGCUCUGAUUCUGACUGAAGAGAACAUCUUCUAUCCAUGUGGUGGUGAAACCCCAAGGAGACAAUAUAUGAAGACAAAUGCCCCACCAGAGCCACCUACUCAUUGUUCUGCCCCAUUCUCCCUUCUCUGCAGCCUGCAUAUUGCCUUGAGAGGGCUCACAUCCCACCUCCUCACUGAGAGCCAUCCCUGUGACUGUGAUUAACAACACAAGGAGUUUUGUGUGCUGGUUUGCAGUCUGUGGUUGCUCAUCCCUCCGCAGUGAUGCUGGCUGCUACAGUGGAUCCCAUCUCAUGCAGAACUCCUUAAAUGUUGCAUGACAUUCUCCAGCUGUUUCAGAAGGGCUGGUCAGAGAAUAAAGUAAUUUCCCUCUUGCUGAGCUACA
rnacentral:lncRNA from 1 species